GUCUAUAUAGAAAUGUGUAAAAUUAUUCUACUUUUUUAACAAUGAUAUGUUGCACAUUCAUUCAAUAACAAAUAUCAUUCUAUGAUUAAAUAUACAAAUGAUUUAUGUAACUAGAAUGGAUAGUUGCAGACUCUAUUUACAUAGCUACAGCAUUAAACUAAAUUUGCAUAGAAGAUAUGAUAAACUCUGUAGUGCAGUAUAAACCUUACAUAAACUUACUUACUGAAAGCUAGGUAAUUGUUUGCAUGUGUUAAAAUAAAAAAGAAGAUGAGGUAUGAUUGCCAAUGAGAGAACUGUCCACAAGAGUUUACCUGGAACUUUAUAAUACAUAUAAAGCUUUAGGUGACAUUAACAAUAGAGCAAGGUGUAAUUGUUCAUGUAAUUUUGAUCUUUUUAAUCGUUUCUUAUUCCUCAACAGCGCAUGGUAUGCUAUGUUAUACAUUGAAAUAAGUUACCUGCUUCAUUUCAUGGUAUCAACACAAUAAAUUUAAUUGUUCCUUCUUUCCAUGAAAAGACUAUACAUGCAAAUUAAUUUCAUUGAUGUGCUGUGUUUUAGUGCAUUGGCUAGAGAAAUAUUAAAGAUAUGUGCAUUUACGUUUGAUAUAAAGAAUAAAUAUUUCUAUUUCUAUCUACCCAAAACAAGGCAGAACUGGUAUUUUCUAGAAUAAUUUUUGUUUGCUGUUAGUCAUUUGAAAUAAGUAUUGCAUAUCAUAUUUCCAAACAAUACUUUUUUCACUUAUAAUUCAAUAAAACAUGAACUCAUACCUAAAUUUCUGACAACAAAAUC
rnacentral:lncRNA from 1 species